GAAGAAUUCAGAGAUGGAUUUGUGCCUUCGGGAACCGUGAGACAGGUGCUGCAUGGCUGUCGUCAGCUCGUGUUGUGAAAUGUUGGGUUAAGUCCCGCAACGAGCGCAACCCUUAUCCUUUGUUGCCAGCGGUCCGGCCGGGAACUCAAAGGAGACUGCCAGUGAUAAACUGGAGGAAGGUGGGGAUGACGUCAAGUCAUCAUGGCCCUUACGACCAGGGCUACACACGUGCUACAAUGGCGCAUACAAAGAGAAGCGACCUCGCGAGAGCAAGCGGACCUCAUAAAGUGCGUCGUAGUCCGGAUUGGAGUCUGCAACUCGACUCCAUGAAGUCGGAAUCGCUAGUAAUCGUGGAUCAGAAUGCCACGGUGAAUACGUUCCCGGGCCUUGUACACACCGCCCGUCACACCAUGGGAGUGGGUUGCAAAAGAAGUAGGUAGCUUAACCUUCGGGAGGGCGCUUACCACUUUGUGAUUCAUGACUGGGGUGAAGUCGUAACAAGGUAACCGUAGGGGAACCUGCGGUUGGAUCACCUCCUUA
rnacentral:rRNA from 2 species